GACGAACGCUGGCGGCAUGCCUAAUACAUGCAAGUCGAGCGAACAGAUGAAGUGCUUGCACUUCUGACGUUAGCGGCGAACGGGUGAGUAACACGUAAGGAAUCUACCUAUAGGCGGGGGAUAACAUUCGGAAACGGGUGCUAAUACCGCAUAAUAUCUUCUUCCGCAUGGAAGAAGAUUGAAAGACGGCUCUGCUGUCACUUAUAGAUGACCUUGCGGUGCAUUAGUUAGUUGGUUGGGUAACGGCCUACCAAGACGAUGAUGCAUAGCCGACCUGAGAGGGUGAUCGGACACAUUGGGACUGAGACACGGCCCAAACUCCUACGGGAGGCAGCAGUAGGGAAUCUUCCGCAAUGGGCGAAAGCCUGACGGAGCAAUGCCGCGUGAGUGAAGAAGGCCUUCGGGUCGUAAAACUCUGUUAUAAGAGAAGAACAAAUUGUAGAGUAACUGCUACAGUCUUGACGGUAUCUUAUCAGAAAGCCACGGCUAACUACGUGCCAGCCGCCGCAGUAA
rnacentral:rRNA from 1 species